CAAAACCCAUAUGGUUGUGUGAAAGUAGCCUUAGGGCUUAUUCACACGACCGCGUGAAGCCCGUGCUGUGGACCGCUAAUUGUGGUGCGCUAAGCACGGGCACCUGCCGUGUGGCAGCCGCAUAGGG